GUUUUAAUUUUCUUUUAUCUCGCUCAAGUACUCUGAUUUCUGCUCUUUUCUUCAGAUGUUUUGAUAAUUUGACUCUGUCUCAGACAUUGAGAUUUAACAUAGAUUAAAACAGUAUUUAUAUCUGACCAGAUUUGAUAAAACCAAGGACAAAACUAGGGUUCACUAAAAAACAAGGAUUCCAUUUGCCAGAACAUAAUGUGUCUGGCUUAUUUUUCGCUCUGCACUGGAGAUAAUCUGAGAUCUGAUUUUUUUGUUUGUUUGUUUGCACUGCCAUUUAUAAAAGGUAUAAGAGACGGGCAUUCAUUUAAAAGUUAUUGUUAAAAUGACAGUCACUCAAGAUAUAGGAGACCUUGAUUCAAGUGUUCUUCCUCUUUCAUGAAAGGAUUCGAACCAUUAACUACUCUAAAAAUUGCACAUUGCAGUUUUCAGCCUCUGAGACAUUCCCAAAUGGGAGUGUCACACCCAUUUUCUGGACUUCAAACCAAUCUAUGGAGUGAACUCUGUGUUUAGCAACCAGUAUUAUCCUCCUGACUCUUCUCAUGCUUUUUCAACAACAGUUUAUGUUGGAGCUGAAUUUUCUCAAGACUCACUACUCAAUCCAAAUUGCAAAAUUGAAGCAACAAAAUUUUCAGUCAUCAUCCCAGUCAGUGGACAAGGUAUUAUGCCACACAUCUUCAGAAAUGAAAACAUGAAAUGGCAGAGAACCACUGUGUUCUUUCAAGUAUUGCAUUUUACAUAAAGAGAUCAUCCAGAGUACCUCAUCUGCAUCUGUGACAUGCUAUGAAGCACUCAGAAACUUUAUGUCCUGUCCCAAGCAGAUAUAUGAACAUAAGAAAAUAAUUUUUCUGAUGAAAGUGACAACAGAAAGGGCUUGUGGGAAAAUAAACUUAUCUUUUCC
rnacentral:lncRNA from 1 species